CGUGGUCCAAAAUUACCUAGCGGGGAACUAAAGGCUAAUUAGCCGAGGCGAGCACCGCGAGGAGGCGGGCUUGAGCUGGGCGACAAGAGGGAAGCUCUUUCCCGGGUCCUUUCUUCGGACGUCCAUGAAAAGAAAGAGGCGGAUGAUGUUUUUCCAGAUAAAAAGCAAGACUUGCUAAGAAGUAUGACUCUUUUCCCCAAGAUAUUACUAAAGCCAGAAGUGGAAGAGUAUCUGAGGUCUAUAUUUCACAAUGCUGAGCUUGUCGCAGCUAUUGGUUCACAGGAAGCUGAAAAGAAGUAUGAGUCUCUGUUAAAUAACUUAUCUCAUCCACCUGCUUUCACAACAGUACGAGUGAACACUUAUUUGGCAUCUGUGGAACAUAUAAGAGGUCUGCUUUGUGAAGAGAUCCACAAGCAAUAUGCAAGUCUUAGUGUUCCAGUUCUUCAGCAUCCACAGCUUCCUGACAUCUUACUUAUACCUGUUAUUGGUCCCAGAAAGGAUCUACAAAAAUUAGCAAAUGAAGCUAUUGUUGGUGCACAGUGUGGGAGUGCGGUGCUUCGGGGAGCUCAUGUCUAUGCCCCUGGAAUUGUAUCAGCAUCAAAAUUCAUGAGAGCUGGUGAUCUAGUUUCGGUAUACUCUGACAUUGAAGGGAAAUGUAAAAGAGGAGCCAAAGAAUUUCUUGGAACCAAAGUUUUCAUUGGAAAUGGGAUUUCUGAACUAAGUCGCAGUGAAAUUUUUAAUUCUAAUGGCCCAUUGAAAGGAUUGGGAAUAAAAAUGAUUGAGCCCAUUUACCUUAGUCCUUCAUUUGACAACUUGUUACCCAGUUAUCUGUUUUUACAGAAUUUGCCAUCUGCAGUGGUAAGCUACGUUUUAAAUCCUCAGCCAGGAGAGAGAAUUUUGGACAUGUGUGCUGCUCCUGGGGGAAAAACAACCCAUCUUGCAACAUUAAUGCAUGAUGAGGGAGAAGUGAUAGCCCUGGACAAGAUAGCGGACAAAGUGAAAAAGAUUAAGCAAAAUGCUUCAUCGCUAAAGUUGAAUUGUAUUAAAACAUUCUGUUAUGAUGGAACGAAGGCACUUGAAAUCAGCAAGAGAGCAGAUGGACAAGAAGGACCUCCAUUUGUCCCAGAAUCAUUUGAUCGAAUACUCCUUGAUGCUCCUUGCAGUGGGAUGGGGCAGAGACCAAAUAUGGCUUUUUCCUGGUCUUUAAAAGAAGUGACUUCUUAUCAGCCUUUGCAACGCAGGCUCUUUUCAGUGGCAGUGCAACUACUGAAGCCCAAGGGCAUCCUGGUAUAUAGUACCUGCACAGUUACACUCUCUGAAAAUGAAGAGCAAGUUGCUUGGGCACUGGAGACAUUCCCGUGUCUCCAGCUUCAGUCACAGGAAGGAAAUAAUUUCAAGGAGGAGGAAAAGGAAGAUUGAGAAAAUGCUGUUUCACCCUCCCAGCAUGACGUUUUUAUAUUGGCCUGAGGUGGAAGGAAAUCCUUUGCUUCGAAUGAAAUGGCCAUGCCUGGGACUGGUACGUCAUCAUCGUGGGCUGCACUGUAACUAACAUUUGUUCGGACUGCAAAUGCAACUGGUUUUGUCUGUACAACAAAAUGAGAGAAAGAGGAUUCAUGUUUUCCCCACAUGAAAAAAGCAUACUAUUGACUAUUGUGAGAACAUGGAGUAGGUGAACUAUUUUAUUAAAGACAAUCAACAAUUGCAAUAAGUGGAUUGUAGUUUUCCAGAUUUUUUUUUAAAAAAAACAAUAUUGUAACAAAUUCGUUUAUAGUUGAAGUGGUGGUUAUGGUUAUAUUCUGUCACUGAUGACAGCAGGAUGCAGAAUGUUUCAAGAAGAUAUAUAAUGUUGCAAAGAUGAUAAAUGUGAUGCACUGUUAGACAUUUAAAAAUAAUUUCAACAACAUAGCCUUUUCCUGUACUCCAGCAUAAGGAAAAUUAUUUAUUUAUACACUCUCAGUGUGCAUGGAUGUUUUUGUUGUUGUUUUAUUUAAAAUGUUCAUUUUAUGCAACAAAAAAGGGGGAAAAAGAGAAAAAAGGGGUGUGUGGCGUUAUUGUUAGAUUAAACUGUGACAAAUAUUAAAUAUGUCACAAAAGUAUAGGGAAGGGGUUAAAGGAAAGGAAGAAAGACAAUUAUCAAUGUACAAAGUUUUCUUAUUGUCUUUAUUACAUUGCAAAAAAACAUUUUUAUUAAAGCAUUUUUUUUCUUUUUAAUA